GUCCCUUAUUAAUUAGCCCAACAUCAAAAGCCUUUAAAAGUCCAUUCUAAUUAGCCCAACAUCAAAAGUAAUUAAAAGUCCAUUCUAAUUAUCACUUAUAUAAAAUGAAAAAUUGUGCCAGCAACCCUAAUUCCUACUCCAGCGCAGCGCCGCUCUUCUUCUCCAUUCUACUCCAGUACAGCGCCGCCGCCGCAAUCACCAUCUCCACGCCGUCCACCAUCACCAAAAUUUCUUGUCGCUCCGACUCGCCCGGCCUCCUCCGUCCUUGGCGCCUGCAUCAAAAUCUGCGCCACCGAUCUCGCCGACUCGCUCAGUCUAUCUUGUCGCUCCGAUCCGCCCGGCCUCCUCCGUCCUUGACGCUGCGUCAGAAUCUGGCCGCUGGUCUCGCCGAUCCCCGCCUUCUCCGUCCUUGGUGCCCCUGUUAGAAGCAGUUGCAGGAUAAUCGAGGAAGGAGAAUGGUCUGGUGCUGGCGAGGAUUUUGUUUCCGUUUACCGUGUACCGUAUUUCCAUUUCCUACGGUAGCUUUAUGAUUUGGAAGUUUAUUAUAGAGUCAGUCAAGAAAUUUACUCCCAGCUAUAUGUCUUCAUACAUAUAGUUUGUUCACAUUUUGCUGUGAUACUCUGAAUAAUUUGAAGCUUUGUGUAUAUUUAGCUAUGUCCGCUUUGUAAAUGUUUGUGAGUAUCUUGACGCUUUUGCGCUUAUGAAGCCUAUAAUAUUAUAUCGUUAUUGAUAUUA